GACGAACGCUGGCGGCGUGCUUAACACAUGCAAGUCGAACGGAAAGGCCCUGCUUUUGUGGGGUGCUUGAGUGGCGAACGGGUGAGUAACACGUGAGUAACCUGCCCUUGACUUUGGGAUAACUUCAGGAAACUGGGGCUAAUACCGGAUAGGAGCUCCUGCUGCAUGGUGGGGGUUGGAAAGUUUCGGCGGUUGGGGAUGGACUCGCGGCUUAUCAGCUUGUUGGUGGGGUAGUGGCUUACCAAGGCUUUGACGGGUAGCCGGCCUGAGAGGGUGACCGGCCACAUUGGGACUGAGAUACGGCCCAGACUCCUACGGGAGACAGCAGUGGGAAAUAUUGCACAAUGGGCGGAAGCCUGAUGCAGCAACGCCGCGUGCGGGAUGACGGCCUUCGGGUUAUAAACCGCUUUCGCCUGUGACGAAGCGUGAGUGACGGUAAUGGGUAAAGAAGCACCGGCUAACUACGUG
rnacentral:rRNA from 1 species